rnacentral:tRNA from 1 species
GGAAUAAUAGCUCAGUUGGUUAGAGCAUUACACUGAUAAUGUAAAGGUCCUAAGUUCAACUCUUAGUUAUUCCACCA